rnacentral:rRNA from 1 species
GUAGGUGGCAAGCGUUGUCCGGAAUUAUUGGGCGUAAAGCGCGCGCAGGCGGUCCUUUAAGUCUGAUGUGAAAGCCCACGGCUCAACCGUGGAGGGUCAUUGGAAACUGGGGGACUUGAGUACAGAAGAGGAAAGCGGAAUUCCACGUGUAGCGGUGAAAUGCGUAGAGAUGUGGAGGAACACCAGUGGCGAAGGCGGCUUUCUGGUCUGUAACUGACGCUGAGGCGCGAAAGCGUGGGGAGCAAACAGGAUUAGAUACCCUGGUAGUCCACGCCGUAAACGAUGAGUGCUAGUGUUAGGGGGUUUCCGCCCCCCUUAGUGCUGCAGCUAACGCAUUAAGCACUCCGCCUGGGAGUACGGCCGCAAGGCUG